UGCCAUCACAACCCCAGUUAGAAAUGCAGUGUACGUCGUUGGCAUAAUCUAAUGUUGAGGAUAAAAUAUUUGUUUUUUUAAUAGAUUACUAUAUUGUUCCCAUUUUGCAUAUUAUUCAUAUGAAAUAUAUUUAAAUGUUAUGUGACAAAAAGGCUGUACAAGAAUUGGCACGGAAAUGGACAUUACAUAUAGAAAAUAGAAAAUAGAAAA
rnacentral:lncRNA from 1 species